AGUGAACGCUGGCGGUAGGCCUAACACAUGCAAGUCGAACGGCAGCACAGUAAGAGCUUGCUCUUACGGGUGGCGAGUGGCGGACGGGUGAGGAAUACAUCGGAAUCUACUUUUUCGUGGGGGAUAACGUAGGGAAACUUACGCUAAUACCGCAUACGACCUACGGGUGAAAGCAGGGGAUCUUCGGACCUUGCGCGAUUGAAUGAGCCGAUGUCGGAUUAGCUAGUUGGCGGGGUAAAGGCCCACCAAGGCGACGAUCCGUAGCUGGUCUGAGAGGAUGAUCAGCCACACUGGAACUGAGACACGGUCCAGACUCCUACGGGAGGCAGCAGUGGGGGAUAUUGGACAAAGGGCGCAAGCCUGAUCCAGCCAUACCGCGUGGGUGAAGAAGGCCUUCGGGUUGUAAAGCCCUUUUGUUGGGAAAGAAAAGCAGCAGGUUAAUACCCCGCUGUUCUGACGGUACCCAAAGAAUAAGCACCGGCUAACUUCGUG
rnacentral:rRNA from 1 species